UGCCAGCCGCCGCGGUAAUACGGAGGGGGCGAGCGUUAUUCGGAAUUACUGGGCGUAAAGCGCGCGUAGGCGGACUGGAAAGUCAGAGGUGAAAUCCCAGGGCUCAACCCUGGAACUGCCUUUGAAACUAUCAGUCUAGAAUCUGUUAGAGGGUGGUGGAAUUCCUAGUGUAGAGGUGAAAUUCGUAGAUAUUAGGAGGAACACCAGUGGCGAAGGCGACCACCUGGGACAGUAUUGACGCUAAGGCGCGAAAGCGUGGGGAUCGAACGGGAUUAGAUA
rnacentral:rRNA from 1 species